GCAGGAGCCGCUUUCCUGCCGGGAGCCGCGCUCCGUCCGGGGCCGGCAGCGAGCGCGGGGUUCGGCCGCUCCAAGUUCGGCGGUGCCGUGGCUCGGAGGCGCUUUGGAGGCGUUGAUGGCAUCGCUGGGUUCGGUUUGCAGCGGGUGUCCGCUAAGGGACACGGUGUUCUUCCUGAGUGGGCACGGUUCUCGGUGCCGGGUACUGAGAAAAUACGUCUCCCUUAGAGUCCCACGGAAAGGUUCUCAGUGCGCUCUCUAUCAAGUGCUAUGAGUCUUGAUAAAUUGGAGAAGAGCCCAAGAGAAAUUUUUCAUCCCUUGAUAUAAAAGGGAUCGGUGAAUUUUAACUUUGGAGUCCCCUAUGCUAAGGAUGCUCAGCUUACAGGUGAUGAAAUGUUCAGUAAUGUAUUUGCUGCAGCUCUGCUUACCCAAGCUUUGGGUUCCUUCUGUCCCACUGGGAGUUGCCCAAUUUGGUUGCAUCUGGUGAAAUUCACCCUGAGACCUUACAGAACCAGCUCCAACUACGUGAGAGCCAUUUGCAGUUCUCUCCAGACACCUGGAGAAUGGGCGACGUUUCCGAGGAUCCGGCGAGCGUGCUUCUAUCAAAACUCAGUCUGUGAAAUUCCUGGGGAAAACCCUUCUGUGUCCUGAAGGGUUCAAACUCUGGUGAGGAUCCAGUUAUCAGGUGCUCACCUGGAUGGUUCCAGCUCCCAAAGGUAACACUUGUACUCUUGCCCUGUAGUUUACAUCUAUUGUAUUUUUGUUAUUUUGCAAGAUUUUUUGUCUUUGCAAAAUAUUGUGCAUUUCACUCUUUGGAACCUCUCAGAUGGUUCUUUGGUGCAGCACCACCCCAGGGGACACUUGGCUGCUGUCCUGAAGGGGUUGGUGGCUAGAAUUGUAAAUCCUGGAGAGUUUAUAAGUCUUCUGUCCCCAGGGAGGUGUCAUGCUUUGUUUACUUUUGUUCUGUUGGUUAGGCGCUGCUUCUCGUUGCAAGUAUGAAUUUCAAACUGCCCUGUUCUUAUUUUAACUGUUUUCCUGGUUCUCUCCCUACGGCAGGGAAAGGCUCUCGUAUCCUUGUCGUCGGGCUCAGUGCUGUCCAAGAAGAUACAGAGACUUCAAAAAUCAUAAGAAGACAAAUAUGACUGCAGGGAAAAGAAGCUGGAGAGAACAGAAGACUCAUCACGGCGGGACAGCGUGAGGACUGAAAGUGUAAGAAGAUGUGGAGGGAAAGAGAGAAUCUGACAGGAGCAUCGGACGCACGAGUGCAGGAAUUUUGCUUUUUUGCUUGGAUGUAAACUCAGGCGUUGAAAGGAAUUUGGGAGUGAGAAGGGACAUUUCAGAAGGAGAAGAAGCAAAAGAAGUUGUUGUUGUUGUUACAGUCCUGGCAAAAUCUUUUGUUCUAGCUAAUAAAAGAAGUUAGUUUAAAAAACAAA